rnacentral:rRNA from 1 species
UGGCACAAAUACUGACGCUCAGGUGCGAAAGCGUGGGGAGCAAACAGGUUUAGAUACCCUGGUAGUCCACGCCGUAAACGAUGUCUACUAGCUGUUCGUGGUCUUGUACUGUGAGUAGCGCAGCUAACGCACUAAGUAGACCGCCUGGGGAGUACGGUCGCAAGAUUAAAACUCAAAUGAAUUGACGGGGGCCCGCACAAGCGGUGGAGCAUGUGGUUUAAUUCGACGCAACGCGAAGAACCUUACCUACUCUUGACAUCUAGCGAAGAUUGCAGAGAUGCAGUUGUGCCUUCGGGAACGCUAAGACAGGUGCUGCAUGGCUGUCGUCAGCUCGUGUUGUGAAAUGUUGGGUUAAGUCCCGCAACGAGCGCAACCCUUAUCCUUAGUUGCCAGCACGUAAUGGUGGGAACUCUAGGGAGACUGCCGGUGAUAAACCGGAGGAAGGUGGGGACGACGUCAAGUCAUCAUGGCCCUUACGAGUAGGGCUACACACGUGCUACAAUGGUACGUACAGAGGGAGGCAAGCUGGCGACAGUGAGCGGAUCUCUUAAAGCGUAUCGUAGUCCGGAUCGCAGUCUGCAACUCGACUGCGUGAAGUCGGAAUCGCUAGUAAUCGCAAAUCAGAAUGUUGCGGUGAAUACGUUCCCGGGCCUUGUACACACCGCCCGUCACACCAUGGGAGUGGGUUGCAAAAGAAGUAGGUAGCUUAACCCUUCGGGGAGGGCGCUUACCACUUUGUGAUUCAUGACUGGGUGAAGUCGUAACAAGGUAACCCAUUCA